rnacentral:rRNA from 1 species
UCAAGCGAAUAAGCGCACACGGUGGAUGCCUUGGCGGUCAGAGGCGAUGAAGGACGUGGCAGCCUGCGAAAAGUAUCGGGGAGCUGGCAACAAGCUUUGAUCCGGUAAUGUCCGAAUGGGGAAACCCACCCGCUUGCGGGUAUCCUGCAGUGAAUACAUAGCUGCUGGAAGCGAACCUGGUGAACUGAAAUAUCUAAGUAACCAGAGGAAAAGAAAUCAACCGAGAUUCCGUAAGUAGCGACGAGCGAACGCGGACUAGCCCUUAAGCUGGAUUGGUUCUAGGAAAACGCUCUGGAAAGAGCGGCCAUAGAAGGUGAUAGCCCUGUAUCUGAAAGGGCCAUUCCAGUGAAGACGAGUAGGGCGGGGCACGUGAAACCCUGUCUGAACAUGGGGGGACCAUCCUCCAAGGCUAAAUACUACUGACCGACCGAUAGUGAACCAGUACCGUGAGGGAAAGGCGAAAAGAACCCCGGAGAGGGGAGUGAAAUAGAACCUGAAACCGUGUGCGUACAAGCAGUAGGAGCUCCGCAAGGAGUGACUGCGUACCUUUUGUAUAAUGGGUCAGCGACUUACUGUUCGUGGCAAGCUUAACCGUAUAGGGGAGGCGAAGGGAAACCGAGUCUGAUAAGGGCGCAUAGUCGCGGGCAGUAGACCCGAAACCGGGUGAUCUAGUCAUGCCCAGGGUGAAGGUGCGGUAACACGCACUGGAGGCCCGAACCCACUCCCGUUGCAAAGGUAGGGGAUGAGGUGUGAUUAGGAGUGAAAAGCUAAUCGAACCCGGAGAUAGCUGGUUCUCCUCGAAAGCUAUUUAGGUAGCGCCUCAUAUGUAUCCUCUCGGGGGUAGAGCACUGUUAUGGCUAGGGGGUCAUCGCGACUUACCAAACCAUUGCAAACUCCGAAUACCGAGACGGACUGUAUGGGAGACACACGGCGGGUGCUAACGUCCGUCGUGAAAAGGGAAACAACCCAGACCCACAGCUAAGGUCCCAAAUUUUGUGCUAAGUGGAAAACCAUGUGGAAAGGCACAGACAGCCAGGAGGUUGGCUUAGAAGCAGCCACCCUUUAAAGAAAGCGUAAUAGCUCACUGGUCGAGUCGGUCUGCGGGGAAGAUUUAACGGGGCUAAGCACAGAACCGAAGCUUGGGGUGCAUAACUUUGUUAUGCGCGGUAGAGGAGCGUUCCGUAAGCCGUUGAAGGUGGAUUGAGAAGUCUGCUGGAGGUAUCGGAAGUGCGAAUGCUGACAUGAGUAACGAUAAUGCGGGUGAAAAACCCGCACGCCGAAAGCCCAAGGUUUCCUUGCGCAACGUUAAUCGGCGCAGGGUGAGUCGGCCCCUAAGGCGAGGACGAAAGUCGUAGUCGAUGGGAAGCAGGUUAAUAUUCCUGCACCUCGCGUAAGUGCGAUGGAGGGACGGAGAAGGUUAGGUGUACCAGGCGUUGGUUGUCCUGGGGAAAGGCGGUAGGUUUGGAUCUUUGGCAAAUCCGGGAUCCUCUAAGACCGAGCACCGAGACGAGCCUUUAUGGCGAAGUCACUGAUACCACGCUUCCAGGAAAAGCUCCUAAGCUUCAGCUUACGCAGACCGUACCGUAAACCGACACAGGUGGGUAGGAUGAGAAUUCUCAGGCGCUUGAGAGAACUCGGGUGAAGGAACUAGGCAACAUGGCACCGUAACUUCGGGAGAAGGUGCACCCUUUUUGGUGGCUCGUGCGAGCUAUAGCUGAAGAGGGUCGCAGUAACCAGGCCGCUGCGACUGUUUAUCAAAAACACAGCACUCUGCAAACACGAAAGUGGACGUAUAGGGUGUGACGCCUGCCCGGUGCUGGAAGGUUAAUUGAUGGGGUCAGCCGCAAGGCGAAGCUCUUGAUCGAAGCCCCAGUAAACGGCGGCCGUAACUAUAACGGUCCUAAGGUAGCGAAAUUCCUUGUCGGGUAAGUUCCGACCUGCACGAAUGGCGUAACGACAGCGGCGCUGUCUCCACCCGAGACUCAGUGAAAUUGAAAUCGCUGUGAAGAUGCAGCGUUCCCGUGGCAAGACGGAAAGACCCCGUGAACCUUUACUAUAGCUUUACACUGAACGUUGAGUUCGUCUGUGUAGGAUAGGUGGGAGGCUAUGAAACCAUGGCGCUAGCUGUGGCGGAGCCAUCCUUGAAAUACCACCCUGUCGUGCUUGACGUUCUAACCUGGGCCCAUUAUCUGGGUCGGGGACCGUGUAUGGUGGGUAGUUUGACUGGGGCGGUCUCCUCCUAAAGAGUAACGGAGGAGCUCGAAGGUACGCUCAGCGCGGUCGGACAUCGCGCACUGUGUGCAAAGGCAUAAGCGUGCUUGACUGCAAGAUCGACGGAUCAAGCAGGUAGGAAACUAGGACUUAGUGAUCCGGUGGUUCUGUAUGGAAGGGCCAUCGCUCAACGGAUAAAAGGUACUCCGGGGAUAACAGGCUGAUACCGCCCAAGAGUUCAUAUCGACGGCGGUGUUUGGCACCUCGAUGUCGGCUCAUCACAUCCUGGGGCUGUAGUCGGUCCCAAGGGUAUGGCUGUUCGCCAUUUAAAGUGGUACGCGAGCUGGGUUCAGAACGUCGUGAGACAGUUCGGUCCCUAUCUGCCAUGGGCGUUGGAGAUUUGAGAGGGGCUGCUCCUAGUACGAGAGGACCGGAGUGGACGAACCUCUGGUGUUCCGGUUGUCACGCCAGUGGCAUUGCCGGGUAGCUAUGUUCGGAAGCGAUAACCGCUGAAAGCAUCUAAGCGGGAAGCGCGCCUCAAGAUGAGAUCUCCCGGGGCACAAGCCCCCUGAAGGAACCAUGUAGACUACGUGGUUGAUAGGUCAGGUGUGUAAGUACAGCAAUGUAUUGAGCUAACUGAUACUAAUGAUCCGUGCGGCUUGACCAU